GCGGGUGGCCGCGGCGCUGCGCCGUGAGGUGCGGCCGUGGGGAGCUGCGCUCCCUCGGAGGCCUGAGGUGAGAGGGAAGGCCCGGCGCGCGACUGCAGACCGCGCCGUGCAGGAGCGAGGUGGAGCCGCGGCCGUAGCGUUAAAAGGUUGAGGCGUCUGAGUUUUACCGAGCGUCACAGCAGCUGAGAGGGAAACGGCACUCUGCUCGGAAAAGGUGACGGGAUCCCGGCCUGAGCGUGAAAAGGUGCAGCUCAGAAAAUGAGGCGUUCCUCCCGUUAGCACGGGGCGAGUCUGCGCGUACGCGGGGCUGUGGUUGGCAGCUCCGGUUCUAUUCUGCGCUUUUUAGCGGAGAUCAAGGGCUGAGCUGCCGCGUGUAGAACAGCCCGAGGCUGAGGUGUGUAUUUGUUUGCUGGCUGCCGGCUCUGGUGCCGCGGAGCUCGCCAGGAGGCUGCGGCUGGCUGAGGCCUCCAAGCCCGAUUUGGUUCCUGGCUCUCACGAGAUUUGGUGCCUUCAUUCAACAGAACAUGCACGUACAUGAAGGAGUUUUAAAAUUUCAUACCGUUUUAAACACUCUGCUAUACUUCAUUGCAGACUUGGACAUUUCAAACGUGGCUUGUUUGAAUUAGGUGGGUUGGAAGGGAGAUUAAUUGUUUUGCCUUUUAAACUAGGGUGCAUAACUUGCACGUCCCUCUAAAUUAGAGUUACUUAAUCAGAUUUUAACCAAAUUCAGAAACAAACUAAAACCAGCAAUGACCUGGAAGCAACAAUGUGCUGCAUGAAUGUCUCAUUAAAACCUGUGGUUGACUCCAGAUUCAAUUCUGUCAGCCUCUGAAUAAAACAGUUCAGAUGUGAGUCUGCUGUUAGAACUGGCAGUGCAAGCAACUACUAAUAUGUACGCACCAUGAUGUGUGCCAUUUAAUAAAUCAGGAUUACAAAGCAAGGUGAAAUUAAAUAGAAGUAAUCUAUUUCUAAACUUUCCCUUUUCUAGCAGUAAUAUCUGGCACAGGGGCUAUGAUAUUAAUCAUAUUAAUAGAGAAAUGAUACUCUAAACUCAGGGCAAAUUAUUACAUAUGACCAAACAGCUGUUGUCAUUAAUGAAGGUGGCAGAACAAGUAUCAGUGAUAUGUGUUACAGGGAGGCAGGAAGACACACACCUUAAAAACCCUCUGCAGUUCCUUUAGUUCAAGGAACUUUUUCCCCAAAAAGACACUUUUCCCACAGUCAGAAAUUUGUAGUUACUAAUGAGCUACAUUUGCAAACUGAUUCUUAUUGUUUGAGUUUCAGCACAAACCAAGGGUUCAACUGAACCCGUGGCUGUCUGUCUUUUGCAUUCAGUUUUAAGGACAAAUCAAGGAGGCUUCACCAGGCCAUCACAAUGGCCAUGCCUACAUCAUUCAUCAAAAUGACUAAAUGUUUGGUUUUUCCCCAUUAAAAUCCAUAUUGUUUAAUGUUUUGUGAGUAAGAAGUUAGUCUAGAGAGUUCUAGGAAAACUAAGAAUUAAACAACAAAAAGAUAUGCACCUAUAUAUUCAUUGGUGUACACAAAAUCAAAAGUAAUGGGGGAAACCAAUGCAUUUAAAUUCUAGUGAAGAAUUUUGAGUGAGAUUGAUACUGAAGAUGAGCUGUCAGAUAAUUACGCCAAAGAAAUUAGGUUAUGUCUUUUUUUCCCCCUUUGAAUACAGUGAAAAAUAAGAAUAUUUGCUGUUUUCAUCUUACUGAAGUUGGUGUCCGUUCACAAAGAAGAUAUUUAUUUUCUGUUUUCCUCAGAACAAGCACAAGCAACCCCCUUGCUAUGGAGAGAUGAAGUUGGCAAAGUUCAGUCUGCCUCUUCACCUUUUUGUUUUAUGUUUAAGUUAGCCAAAUAAUUCAUAGUGCUGCAAAAUCAGAGAAAAAAAGAUUGUGAUUUCAGGUGACAGCAGCAUUUAUCCAUGUUUCUGUCUUGUGUAAAAAAUAGAAAUUAUGUAAUUUGUUCAAAAAUGCUUUACCUAUUUACAGAUAAUACAUUAUAUAUUGAAACAAGCACGUUCUUAUGCAAGAGGUGCAAAAUCUCCAUUGUUGUAUUCAGCUUAGAUUAUUCUAUUUAUUUCAACUUGUGCAAGCACUAAAGCAUCAGUAAUUAAUAUAUUAGAAUGGUACAGAUGUGGUUGAUACUGUGCAGUUACUGAGUUUUACGUGGUAAGCAAUACUGUGUAGUGCUGGAAACCUGAUGAAAGGAAGUAUCAGGAAAAAAGUAUAAAAAUGUUCAUAUUAAGUGCAAUUGAUGCUCAUUUCCUGAAGGUGCUUGGACACUAGCCAAUGCAUGGAAAGGAAGAUGCAUUUAAAGAAUCAAAUAACUUCUUGAAAAUGGUAUCUCCCAUACAAUCUCAGUGGAAAUUGUCCAACGCAUCACAACAGCUCUUGACUUUGAGCACCACCUCUCUUGUCUUGAGCACAAAUAUUUGUUACGCUUCCUUCUCGCUGCAGGGAAGUUCAGUUACAGAACUUGACAUUUGCCUCCAAGAGUAACAAUGAACUCAGUGUUCCUCUACUUGCAACAGAAGUAAGCACAGUGAACGGAGGUGGAGUAAUUUUAACUAGUAGAGUAAAGCUGUUUGAGAGACCUCACUUUCAUUCUAUUGCAGCUCUGUUUUGUUGCAAUAAACUACUAGUUAUGAAAAACAGGCAAAUAAUAGGGUAUCAGUUCUUUAAAAACCAAAUAUUGCUCAAAUGUAAAUAUUUGUGACGUAUGACAAGUAUUCAUUUCAUUGUGGAAUUGAAAGCUGUAUUUUAGGGAAGGAUAGUGUUUAAAGAAACAGAAAUGAUGUAUGCUUUUGGUUCUAUAACAUAUUACAUAAAGGAUUUCUUCUAGAAGUGUAGAUACUGUUCAGUUUUGUUAAUGGGAGAAUGUUCAUUAAAGCACACAAUAAACAUAUCCUGUAAUUAAUGUAAUUAGCACAGAAUUAUCAAAUUAACAUCAAUAAUAUUGUUUUUACGCAUUUCAAAGCCCUGUCAAGUACACACCGUGCUGGCGAAGUCCCGUGUCACUGUUUGGGGUGUAGCUGUAAAAGUCUUAAUGCAGUGUGACACCUCAGUCAUUUGCAUUUUCCAAAAGCUUCCCAGCAGUUCUUUCCUAAGCAUAUCAGAAAGAGAGGUUUCAUUCUCAGUGUUGUAGAAAGCAAGGCCAUAUGUGAGUUUGAUAAUUUCACUGUUGCAAAUGCUAUAACCAGUGCAAGUGGCUGACUGGCUAUAAGUCAGAACUUGCUACUGUUGUUUAUAGGAACACGCUGUCUUGACAUGCCUGUAUUCAGCAGGUCUUCUGAUCUGUUUUUCUGAUAUGUAAGUAUUUGGUAACUACAUCAAGGAAUCACACACAUCCUGGGGAGGAAUUUCACUCAGUAGAAUCCCAUUUGCAGUAGUAGUGUAAAUUUUAGCAAAUAAUUUAAAAAGAGAGUUGGUGUAUAUAUUCAGGUAAUGCUUUUUUUUCGUCAUCCCUGUCUGCAGGCAGUGUGAUGCUCAUUUGUGGCAUCCUUCUCUAGAAAGCACUUGAAGCUUCUAUCUUCUAAACACAAGGAACUGAAGGACUUUGAAUUGUGGCCAAACUUGUGCAGCCUUAGAGACAAGCUUUUAUUCACGAGUUACCUUGCCAACCACAAGUAGCACCUUCUCAGAUGAAGUGUGUCAUACCUUCAUGCCACUUUACAGAAACAAGGAAGUGAGAGAUGGACUAAGGCAGAUACUAUUUGAUCCCCAUCAGGAAUGCAGAAUCAGUGUGCCUCCAUCACCCACCCACAUGUUUUGGACGACAUUCAACCACAGCAGGUUACAGGCCUUUUUCACAGCUCGGAGCUGCAAGCUUAACUUCAGAACUGCUUACCUGCUUUGCGUGUGUCAGUGGAAACAGAGGCAGGCUUAACAUCUCUUAUUAGGUCUAGGGCCGUGAGGUAGCGCUGUUCUUCUGUUGAGCUUCCAUAGAUGAGGAAAUAAACCCUACAGGUUUGGAGGAAAAAAAAGAAAAAGUUGACAGAUAUUUAAGAUUAGAAGCACUAACUGCCUGAAAAAUUUCUAUCUCAUUUUCCGUCUUUUACCAACGUCAUAUACUCUUACUGAAACUUUGGGAUUCAACAAGAGUGGAUUGCCAGAAGUGGGCAAUAGAUUUUAUUGUUCUUUCAAGAUAAAAAUUUAACCAACUGCAUGCUCGAUUAGCACCAAGUCAACUUGCCU